rnacentral:rRNA from 1 species
UACGUAGGUGGCAAGCGUUGUCCGGAAUUAUUGGGCGUAAAGGGCGUGUAGGUGGAUUCUUAAGUCGUGUGUCUAAGUGCGGAGCCCAACUCCGUAUAGGCGCAGGAAACUGAGAAUCUUGAGUGCAGGAGAGGAAAGUGGAAUUCCCAGUGUAGCGGUGAAAUGCGUAGAUAUUGGGAGGAACACCAGUGGCGAAGGCGACUUUCUGGACUGUGUCUGACACUGAGGCGCGAAAGCUAGGGGAGCGAACGGG